rnacentral:rRNA from 1 species
AGCUUGCUGAUUUUUGAUAGUGGGUGUUUUCUGCCCGGUGUUUUUUAAACGGCCGCGGUAUCCUGACCGUGCAAAGGUAGCAUAAUCAUUUGUUCUUUAAUUGGGGACUGGAAUGAAUGGAAGUUUGAGGGCUUGGCUGUCUCUUUUCUUAUGUUAGAAUUUGCUGUUUUUGUGAAGAAGCAGAGGUGACCAAAAAAGACAAGAAGACCCUAUUAAGCUUUACUCUUUUGGCUGCUUGUUUGGUUGGCUCUUGUGUAUUGUGGUGUAGCUGGAGGGUUUGGUUGGGGUGACUGGAGAAGAGUUGAUCUUCUUUUAUUUUUAUUAACUUUUAGUUGUAACGUGACCCGGUAGUGUGCCGGUUGAUGGAAUUAGUUACUAUAGGGAUAACAGCGUAAUUUCUCCGGAGAGUUCUUAUUGAGGGGGGAGGUUGCGACCUCGAUGUUGACUUGCUUUUUCCUGUUAAGGUGUAGGAGCUGUUAGGGUUGGUCUGUUCGACCAUUAAAAUAGC